rnacentral:tRNA from 1 species
GAGGAUAUAGCUUAGCAGCAGAGUGCAUGCCUAGCAUGCAUGAGGUCCUGGGUUCAGUCCCCAGUACCUCCA